CUUUUGUAUCUUAAUUUCUUUCUCUGUGCUUUUGUCUUUCAAGGAGUGGUGCUGGGCACAGGUAUUUUAGAUAAGUAAGUGGGAUAGCAAGAGAAGGACCUUUUUACUGCUCACCCAUUUAUUGGGUGACAAUCCAAUGUGCUAUCCAGAAUGCAGCAUUUUUGAGAGUAAAAGAAAUCAUACUGGGCCAGAUCAUAAAACCCAGCAUUUUUUAGACAAACUGGUAUAGUGUAUAUGGUUAACUUACUUUGUACCAAGAAGGUAUAACAAACUCACUUUAGAGGACAGUGGUGUACAGUCUGAUAGAGUGAGUACCCAGUUAACUCUCCGUAUGUUGUGUCAGCUGGCUUUGUAUCAGGAAGCUUCUGGUGAGUUUAGGUGACCCCAUAGCAGAGGCAGGUGGAAAAUUCCAGGCUAGGAGGCUGGAUGGAGUAGAUGGUAAACACUCAAGGGUCAGUGGUCAAUGAUGAGGACACAAGCCAAGAGCCAACCAUGGGGAUUCCAAGGGGAGCUUGGGUUAUCAAAGGCCAUUAGAGCUGCAGUGACCAGGACAUUGCCCCAAGAAACUGUGUCUGCAUGAAAUAAGGGAUAUCCUUGCUUGUUUGUGACCCAAGGAUAUAUUGUUUUGCUUAUUGGUGUUGAAUUUUAAUUAAAAACCAAACAACUUUUCCUAUUAACUUGAUGCUACUUAUUAAUUCAAAUGAAGAGACUGACUCUGGAUAUUGGGAAAAUUUAUCGGCAUAUACAAAGGAAAGGCCGUGUGGGGAAAUAAUGAGAGGACAGCCAUCUGCAAGCCAAGAAGAGAAUCAUCACUAGAAACCAAAUUGGUUGGAACCUUGAUCUUGAACUUCUUGCUUCCAGAAUUAUGAGAAAAUAAAUUGUUGUUUGAGC